rnacentral:misc_RNA from 1 species
GAUGAAGAACGUAGCGAAAUGCGAUACGUAAUGUGAAUUGCAGAAUUCAGUGAAUCAUCGAAUCUUUGAACGCAUAUUGCGCUCUUUGGUAUUCCGAAGAGCAUGCUUGGUUGAGUAUCAGUAAACACCUCAAAGACUUCAAUUUGUUUUGAAUGGCUUUGGACUUGAGCAAUCCCAACACCAGUCUUUACGAUCGGUGGAGGGUUGCUUGAAAUGCAGGUGCAGCUGGACAUUCUCCUGAGCUAAAAGCAUAUUUAUUUAGUCCCGUCAAACGGAUUAUUACUUUUGCUGCAGCUAACAUAAAGGGAGUUUGACCGUAUUGGCUGACUGAUGCAGGAUUUCACAAUGGUCGGCAACGAUUCUUGUAAAACUCGAUCUCAAAUCAAGUAAGACUACCCGCUGAACUUAAGCAUAUCAAUAAGCGGAGGA